CGCAGGGCGCAGGACCCUCCGGCCGGAAUGCCGUCGCCGCGUCUCCUCCGCCCAAAGGGCCGGCACCGGACGCAGCUUGCGGAGCACCAGCAGCUAGCUGCACGCCCGGCUGCCGCUUCUCCGGGAGCCCCGGCCCUCUGCCAGGCAGUGCGGGGCAGGUCUCUGGUCCAGACUCAGCCAUCCUCGUGCCCUGGUUCUCCCGGUCUGGGGAGACAGAUCAGCCCACGUGAGAGAAAGAAGCUGGAAAUGAUGGAGUCCCAGCACCACUCAGUGGCUCUGUGGCCCAGGUCACCCCGCUGCUCUGGGCUUGUGUUCCUUCAUCUGUAAUAUGAAGGGAAUGGACUGGAUGCCUGCAAAAGUGCCUUACAGAACAGAGAGACGACAGUGAUUUCUUCCUUUAACCUGGGUGAACCCCAGAAGACAAAGAGGUACUAUUUUUUGGAAAAGGAGCAUGAGAUGAUGAGGCUGGUUCUCUGUUGUUGCUGACCUUUUCCUACAGGGCCUGUGAACAUUUGUCUCACUUGCCCAAUGCAAGUGAGCUUGUGUGAGAGUCCCACAAAGGAAAAUGAGCACCAGUUUGCCGAGAGGAAGUGGCUGAGGCAAGGACUGGCUCUCACUGGGACACCUUGCUGCCUUGGCUUAAUGGGAGUGAGCAGAAGUCUCAAAUGAAUCCCCAAGUAAAAGUAAUGACACGCAGCAUUCCUAGGACAAGGGAUGUGUUACCACAGCAACUGACUCCCGAGGUGUCCACUCAAGAUUUUGAGAACCCCAGACCCCAUCCUGGGCUACAGCAAGUCAUAUGAGACCAAGUUCGCCUUACCUACCAGGAAAGGCAGUGAAGGACUCUAUUUUUUGCUCCAUUUUUCCACGUCCAGGAUUCCAACUUUCCCUAGAGAUGUCACAUCAGCACCAAAUGACUGCAUGUUAUGCAUACGGGUGGGCAGAGCGAGCCCAAUGAUAAGCAUAGCACCCCACAGUCAGAACUCUGGCAAAUGUAUUUCUGUUCUUGUGAAGACAACUCAGAACAAACUCCAUUCCUCUGUUUUGUAUACAUUUAUAGUAAUUAUUAUCUUUAUUUAAAAAGUCACUUCUCACAUCUGUUUGGAGGGACCACUUUUUUUUUUUAAUCAAGAGUCACAUGCUCUACAAACUGAGCCAGCCUGGUGCGCCUGAAGGACCACACUCUUGUACUGAUUUUUUUUUUUUUUUUUAAGUAAUCUCUAUGCCCAACAUGGGGCUCGAACUCAGGACCCUGUGAUGAAGAGUUGCAUGCUCUCCCAAGUCAGUCAGGCACCCCCACACUCUUAUAUUGAGAUAAAGACUUGCUUCUGGUCCCUUCCUUUGCCCCUGGCCCUUUGGUUCUAAGUACUUGUAGCUAAAAUUGUUAUCUGGAAUUUUGAUUGUUAGGUACUUCCAAGUUAAAUCUCCAAGAUUCUGAUCAUAUUUGUUUGAAUCAAGAUCCAGGUUACAUAAAUCUAAUUUUAAUCAAAAAAAGUUUUUCCCCAAAAUAGUUACGCCUUCUUCCUACUUAAUUUGACCAUCAACCUUACCAUUUUGAAAGUUAGCUGCCAUGUGUUGUUUAUUGUGGAAAACUGUAGAAAGCAAGACUACCUCGAGAACUGUUACAUUACCAUAAAAUGCUGAAUCUGCUGCACUCCUUAAAGAUUGUACUUACAACUUUACAGCCAAAACCAACAUCUAUAGGGGCGCCUGGCUGGCUCAGUCAGUAGGGCAUGCAACUCUUGAUCUUGGAGUUGUUUAAGUCCGAACCCGAUGGUGGGUAUAGAGAUUACUUAAAAAAAAAAACAAAAUUAAAAAAAAAAAAUCUACAAGACAACCCAUCUCAGGUCAAUGAAGUUGUUGGUUGCUAGUUUCUUUUUCCUUUUUUUUUACGAUUUUAUUUUGGGGGCACCUGGGUGGCUCAGUCAUUAAGCGUCUGCCUUUGGCUCAGGUCAUGAUCCCAGGAUGCUGGGAUCGAGCCCCGCAUCGGGCUCCCUGCUCAGUGGGAAGCCUGCUUCUCCCUCUCCCACUCCCCCUGCUUGUGUUCCCCUUCUCACUGUGUAUCUCUCUGUCAAAUAAAUAAAAUCUUUUUAAAAAACUAAAAAAAAACUAACAUCUACAA